AAUACUGUCAAGGUUAGGUCAGCCUGAAAUGAACUUACCUGAAGGACUCAUCUUAAGGCAGGCAGAUUCGCAUCUUCCUGUAGGCCUUCAGCGUUUCUACAAUUCAGACAAGGAUCGGGCAUUUACCUAGCUGGCAAGAUCAUCCAGAGUUAUAAGAGUAACAAUUCAAUACACAAGGGCAUAGUGCAAAUGAGAACCAGGCCCCUAGAGAUUUAGAAGGGGCAUAAACCUGUAAAGUCCAGGGCAUAAACCAAGCACUACCUACUGGGUACUUGGAAGAAAUGUUCCCUGUUGGUAGGUUGUUCUUUCUGCAGGGUUUUUUGCAUUGUCCUCUGAAACAGCUAGUGCUGAUGUCAGAGACAGGAAAAUAUAUGGAUCGCUGGUCUGAUCUAAUAUGACUACGUUCCUAGUGUGACACCGCACCCCAUAUUCUUCAUAGAAAUAUUGUUAUAAUAUGAUUAUAGCAUAACUAUGAUAUGUUUUAUGCAAGAUAAGGCAUGUGAGGUAUCAUUGGAAAGGUUUUGCUUUGCUGAAUAUGAUUAUCCUGUUUGUAUGCAUGUAUCAUUUUUGUAUCUAAAGUUAGGAAUAUUGACUGUACAUCUGUACUGCAAAAGUGUUUGCACCUGGGGAAUGCCCACCAGACAGAAUGCAAUCAAGUCUGACUGGCUAGCGGGGGACCAGUCAAUGGACCAUUAGGGAGAACAGUAGGUCUUUGAAGAUGCUAAUCCCCCACCUUCCUGAGAAGCUUUCCUGGGAUGCUACAACCAACCUCUGAUUCAUGGCUGCUUUGACACUGUGGUCAUGUGAUUAAGUAACCUGGUACUGGACUCCAUGAUAGAAUACCAGUAUUUUUCCACUGGGGGGGAUGGGAACCACAGUGGAAAACAAAGGAUUCCUGUCAUAUGUAAAACCUAUUUAAGGCAGGAGAGAGACAUAAUCAGUGUUUGUUCUUCACUCAAUCCCCGCCCAGGAUGACUGCUGUGAACAUCUAAGAAACAAAGACAAAGUGGGGGAGAAGGACUGAGCCCAGGCUGGGAAAGGUGUCUGGCCUGUGAAAGAAAAACCUGGAGUUUUAAGCAAGAGUAAUCUGCCUAAAACAACAUUUAGGGAAAUCCUGUGUCUGUGGAUUCUGUUGAUUGGCCAGAGAGAGAGAGGCCCAAACCAAAUCACUGAUCUUCCAGAACUUUGGGGAAGCUGAGGACCGUUUGUACAGCACGUAACUCCAUGGGGCUCUGAUCCCUCACUGCAACCUGCAGGCCCCGCUAUACUAUACGUCAUUUCAAACAACCCCCAGGAGUUGCAGGGAGCGAAGCGUGAACCUGGCAUGAACCUUCAGCGUCGAGGAAUAAAGCGGAGCUGCUUUGCCACAGUGGUGUUUUUGACACCGUUGUCAUUCAGCGCCACCUCGUACUGUAAAUGUCUGAUCCCGAACUGACAGCGGCUGAACGUUAGGCUGCUGUCCUGAGUCGGAGUAGAUGCUGUUUGCAGUGAAAAAAGAAGCAAUGUGUGUGUAAGAUACUGUGCGAUACAAGUAGAAUUAAAGCAGUGCCAAAAAACAAAUGUUAAGCCUGAAAAGA